AGUGUAGAUUCAGAGUUUAUCCUGGCUCAGAACGAACGCUGGCGGCAGGCCUAACACAUGCAAGUCGAGCGAGAUCUUCGGGUCUAGCGGCGGACGGGUGAGUAACGCGUGGGAAUAUGCCUCUUGGUACGGAAUAGCCUCGGGAAACUGGGAGUAAUACCGUAUGUGCCCUUUGGGGGAAAGAUUUAUCGCCAAGAGAUUAGCCCGCGUUGGAUUAGGUAGUUGGUGGGGUAAUGGCCUACCAAGCCGACGAUCCAUAGCUGGUUUGAGAGGAUGAUCAGCCACACUGGGACUGAGACACGGCCCAG
rnacentral:rRNA from 1 species